GACGAACGCUGGCGGCGUGCCUAAUACAUGCAAGUCGAACGCAGUGGGGACGGGUGAGUAACACGUGGGUAACCUCCCAUCAGAGGGGAUAACACUUGGAAACAGGUGCUAAACCGAUACUGAUGGAUGGACCCGCGGUGCAUUAGCUAGUUGGUGAGGUAACGGCUCACCAAGGCCACGAUGCAUAGGCGACCGGGGAGGGGGGUGGGCCACACUGGGGAUUAGACACGGGCCAGACUCCUACGGGAGGCAACCGGAGGGAAUCUUUCGCAAUGGACGAAAGUCUGACCGAGCAACGCCGCGUGAGUGAAGAAGGUUUUCGGAUCGUAAAACUCUGUUGUUAGGGAAGCGGUAUCUAACCAAAAAGCCACGGCUAACUACGUUCCAGCCGCCGCGGUAAUAC
rnacentral:rRNA from 1 species